rnacentral:rRNA from 1 species
UACGGGGGGGGCAAGCGUUGUUCGGAAUUACUGGGCGUAAAGGGCUCGUAGGCGGCCAACUAAGUCAGACGUGAAAUCCCUCGGCUUAACCGGGGAACUGCGUCUGAUACUGGAUGGCUAGAGGUUGGGAGAGGGAUGCGGAAUUCCUGGUGUAGCGGUGAAAUGCGCAGAUAUCAGGAGGAACACCGGUGGCGAAGGCGGGUCUCUGGCCCGGUACUGACGCUGAGGUGCGAAAGCGUGGGGAGCAAACAGG